rnacentral:rRNA from 1 species
GAUGAACGCUGGCGGCGUGCCUAAUACAUGCAAGUCGAGCGAACAGAUAAGGAGCUUGCUCCUUUGACGUUAGCGGCGGACGGGUGAGUAACACGUGGGUAACCUACCUAUAAGACUGGGAUAACUUCGGGAAACCGGAGCUAAUACCGGAUAAUAUUUCGAACCGCAUGGUUCGAUAGUGAAAGAUGGUUUUGCUAUCACUUAUAGAUGGACCCGCGCCGUAUUAGCUAGUUGGUAAGGUAACGGCUUACCAAGGCGACGAUACGUAGCCGACCUGAGAGGGUGAUCGGCGACACUGGAACUGAGACACGGUCCAGACUACUACGGGAGGCAGCAGUAGGGAAUCUUCCGCAAUGGGCGAAAGCCUGACGGAGCAACGCCGCGUGAGUGAUGAAGGUCUUCGGAUCGUAAAACUCUGUUAUUAGGGAAGAACAUACGUGUAAGUAACUGUGCACGUCUUGACGGUACCUAAUCAGAAAGCCACGGCUAACUACGUG